CCCGGCAGGUCCAGGCCCCGCUCACCCCCGACCCAAGGGCGGGAGGUGCGCGUCUCUUUAACGGACACAUUCAAGGACCGCAAGGCCCAACGCGAGGUUGCGCACAGCAAGAUUGAAAAAUCAUUUUGGAAUUGGAACAGCUGAGAUUUAUGUGUUUAAGAAGCAAGAAAAAAAUAGAAUCCCAGAAGCUCGUAUUAUAGAAAAGCUAAUUCUUUGAAAGGUGUCGAGGAGGCACUAUGCGACUAAAAGAAAAUUCCUAACUUUAUUGUCUGGAGACACAAUCAGCCACAGAUCAGAACACUGUCAUGAAAAUCAGGAUAUUGAAGUGAUUUGACAAGAACAUAAGGAAGUAUUUCACAGCCAGACACACGGGGCGGGACAGGGCCAGGUGAGCAACGCCAGCCUCCUCUGCCGGCAGACUACCACCGCAAAGCACACACGGACACCACGACUGAUUUUGGAUCAAGCAGCCCGCGUGCUGCUCUGUGCUACCUUCCACUGAGGGCCCGCUCUGCCCCUUCCAAAAGCCCACGGACGUUUCCGCGAGGUGAAUCACCCACCCGCGGCAGCUCAAACCUGGUCGCCUCCCCACCCUGCCAAAUGGGGACAGGCAACCUGCGGCUUGCUGCGACAAGCCGUUGCAUUUGCGGUGCGGGCUCUCCCGCCUAGCCGUGGCAUCGCGCCUGCACCCGCCCAGGCCCUACCACGACAAGAGGGAUUUCGCCUGGGGG